UAGGGAAUCUUCGGCAAUGGACGAAAGUCUGACCGAGCAACGCCGCGUGAGUGAAGAAGGUUUUCGGAUCGUAAAACUCUGUUGUUAGAGAAGAACAAGGACGUUAGUAACUGAACGUCCCCUGACGGUAUCUAACCAGAAAGCCACGGCUAACUACGUGCCAGCAGCCGCGGUAAUACGUAGGUGGCAAGCGUUGUCCGGAUUUAUUGGGCGUAAAGCGAGCGCAGGCGGUUUCUUAAGUCUGAUGUGAAAGCCCCCGGCUCAACCGGGGAGGGUAAUUGGAAACUGGGAGACUUGAGUGCAGAAGAGGAGAGUGGAAAUCCAUGUGUAGCGGUGAAAUGCGUAGAUAUAUGGAGGAAAACCAGUGGCGAAGGCGGAUCUCUGGUCUGUAACUGACGCUGAGGCUCGAAAGCGUGGGGAGCAAACAGG
rnacentral:rRNA from 1 species